CUUGUAGACUGGAGUCACGUCUGCUCACCUCCAGCCAACUGGGACCUCCCUGGGGACAUGAAGACACAAUGACCCCAGUUUUCACUUGUGAAAGACUUCAGAAAUAACUACUUAGGAAGCCAAUGUGAUGCAUAGCUUUUGACAAAAUAUUUUAAUCCAAAGAAGACCACACAUAGAAGAUGGACUGUGUGAAUGGAAAAAGUUUCCCAUAUGUGCAAUGACACUGAUGUUGUUCCUGUGUCAUGGAAACACUCAGAUUAUUUAAAAAAAAUGUAAUUGAUCUUCUGGGAAGCAUCAGUUCAGAGUCUCAACCACCCCUCCCUGAUCAAUUAGAAAUGAACCACUGUGAAAACCCACAGAUUGCUGGAAAGGGGACGAGAAUUAACUAACUCUAGAAGCUGUAAAAGGCUGAAAUCAGACUCCAGCUGCGACAGAGCUCUAUAUCCCUGUACAUCUGCAAAACUGAUUUCACAGGUAACAGCGGAGGCCUGAACUUUUUUGUCUGCCAUGUGCUCCAGUGUGGGAAGAGCUACUCAUAGAGAAUGUUCCUAUCUCUUUUCAGAAACCACUGUCUAAGCUGCUUGUUGCAAUCACAGAUUUUACAGCAAAGGACAUAUACAAUAUGGGACUGCAUCUCAGUCUACAUGAGGCCAUGAUCAAUAAUCAGUGUCAACUUGACUCAGCUGCGCAACAACAAAGCGAUCUGAAUUGCAUGAGUUUGUCAGAGAUUCAGUUGUCUGAAACACAUGUGAGUCAAUUAUUUAAUUUAGAUAUGAAUGGGUUGGCAGGCAGAGAGAAUGGGGUAAAGCAGUGAUAUUGCCUAGAAUUACGCA
ensembl:lncRNA